rnacentral:rRNA from 1 species
CAGUAGCCGCGGUAAUACAGAGGAUGCAAGCGUUAUCCGGAAUGAUUGGGCGUAAAGCGUCUGUAGGUGGCUUUUCAAGUCCGCCGUCAAAUCCCAGGGCUCAACCCUGGGCAGGCGGUGGAAACUACCAAGCUAGAGUACGGUAGGGGCAGAGGGAAUUUCCGGUGGAGCGGUGAAAUGCGUUGAGAUCGAAAAGAACACCAACGACGAAAGCACUCUGCUGGGUCGACACUGACACUGAGAGACGAAAGCUAGGGGAGCAAAUGGGAUUAGAUACCCCUGUAGUCCCUGUCUCUUAUAC